rnacentral:rRNA from 1 species
CGCCUGUUUAUCAAAAACAUAGCUUAUUGUUUUUUUAUUUUAAGUGUUUUCUGCCCGGUGUGUAAUAAACGGCCGCGGUAUCUUGACCGUGCAAAGGUAGCAUAAUCAUUUGUUCUUUAAUUGAGGACUGGAAUGAAGGAAAGAAGUGAGAUUGAUGCUGUCUCUUUUUUUGUUUUAGAAUUUGCUUUUUUUGUGAAGAAGCAAAAGUUUAGAAAAAAGACAAGAAGACCCUAUUAAGCUUUACUUUUUGUUUUUAAUCGUGUGUUGUUAGUUAAUAAUCUUUUUAAUUUGACAUGUGCAAAGUUUAGUUGGGGCGACUAAAAAGGAUUAUGAAGCCUUUUUUUGUUUUUGUAACUUUAAGUUAAAAAAUGACCCAGAAUUUUCUGGUUUAAAGAAUUAGUUACUGUAGGGAUA